GACGAACGCUGGCGGCGUGCUUAACACAUGCAAGUCGAACGGAAAGGCCCUGCUUGCAGGGUACUCGCGUGGCGAACGGGUGAGUAACACGUGGGUGAUCUGCCCUGCACUUCGGGAUAAGCCUGGUCAACUGGGUCUAAUACCGGCUAGGUGCCAUUUUUAGUGUGAUGGUUGGAUAGUUUUUUCGGUGUAGGAUGAACUCGCGGCCUAUCUGCUUGUUGGUGGGGUAAUGGCCUACCAAGGCGGCGACGGGUAGCCGGCCUGCGAGGGUGGACGGCCACAUUGGGACUGAGGUAAGGCCGAGAUAGCGACGGGAGGGAGAAGUGGGGAAGAUUGAACAAGGAGCGCAAGCCUGAUGCGGCGAGGCCGCGGGGGGGAUGACGGCGUUAGGGUUGUAAACUCAUUUCGCUAGGGACGAAGCUUUUUGUGACGGUACCUAGAUAAGAAGCACCGGCUAACUACGUG
rnacentral:rRNA from 1 species